rnacentral:tRNA from 1 species
GGUCGCUUAGCUCAGCUGGAUAGAGCGCUGCCCUCCGGAGGCAGAGGUCAGAGGUUCAAAUCCUCUAGCGAUCA